UACGUAGGGGGCAAGCGUUGUCCGGAUUUACUGGGCGUAAAGAGCGCGUAGGCGGAAGUUUAAGCGGUGCCUGAAAGCCCCCGGCUCAACCGGGGAGGGUGGUGCCGAACUGGGCUUCUUGAGGGCGAUAGAGGAGAGUGGAAUUCCGGGUGUAGCGGUGAAAUGCGUAGAGAUCCGGAGGAACACCAGUGGCGCAGGCGGCUCUCUGGGACGGUACUGACGCUGAGACGCGAAAGCGUGGGGAGCGAACAGG
rnacentral:rRNA from 1 species